ACCUCUUGGAAAAAUAUAUUCAUUUCGGUGAAAUCUAAGUGUUGAGCUCGCUCUUCACAAGACUAGAUUG
rnacentral:sRNA from 1 species